ACAGGGGGUGCAAACGUUGCUCGGAAUUAUUGGGUGUAAAGCGCACGUAGGCGGUUUGUUAUGUCGGAUGUGAAAGCCCUUGGCUCAACUGAGGAAGUGCAUCCGAAACUGGCAAGCUAGAGUAUGUAAGAGGGUCGCGGAAUUCCCGGUGUAGAGGUGAAAUUCGUAGAUAUUAGGAAGAACACCAGUGGCGAAGGCGGCUCACUGGAUCGGUACUGACACUGAGGUGCGAAAGCGUGGGGAGCAAACAGGA
rnacentral:rRNA from 1 species